GAUGAACGCUGGCGGAGGGGAGAAUACACGCAAGUCGAGCGAACAGACGAGGAGCUUGCUCCUCUGACGUUAGCGGCGGACGGGUGAGUAACACGUGGAUAACCUACCUGUAAGACUGGGAUAACUUCGGGAAAACGGAGCUAAUACCGGAUAAUAUAUUGAACCGCAUGGUUCAAUAGUGAAAGACGGUUUUGCUGUCACUUAUAGAUGGAUCCGCGCCGCAUUAGCUAGUUGGUAAGGUAACGGCUUACCAAGGCGACGAUGCGUAGCCGACCUGAGAGGGUGAUCGGCCACACUGGAACUGAGACACGGUCCAGACUCCUACGGGAGGCAGCAGUAGGGAAUCUUCCGCAAUGGGCGAAAGCCUGACGGAGCAACGCCGCGUGAGUGAUGAAGGUCUUCGGAUCGUAAAACUCUGUUAUUAGGGAAGAACAAAUGUGUAAGUAACUAUGCACGUCUUGACGGUACCUAAUCAGAAAGCCACGGCUAACUACGUG
rnacentral:rRNA from 1 species